rnacentral:misc_RNA from 1 species
CGAGGUACCAUCGCCUCCAAUCGGUACUCUCUCUCUCUUAACCCUCAUCUAUGCGUAUUUUUUGGGUAUGUUUCAGUGUUUUAGCUGAAGUAAUAUUUUUUCCUAAUUUUGGUGGUAUGUUUUAGUUUGGGUACUAGGUAAAUUUUCUUUCGAGGUUAAUUUGGUAUUCCCAAUUCCUAUCUGUGUGCCUUAUGUGAUGCAAUAUAGCUAGAAUUGCUAGAAGUUGCUUCGAGAUGUAGUAGUUGUAUGCCGUAUUCAUUCCAAAAAGAGAAUUGAAUACUACACAAUUAUAUUGAUCUUAAUCAUGCAUCACAGAGACCAAUCGGUCUUCACAGAUCUUGAGUCCUAAUUCCUCCAUACACCAAAUGUUAGUGUAAUUAUUUGUGGUGUGGGGAUAUGAAUGGUAAGUUUCAAUGAUCUCAGGACAAAUACAUUUCUGAUGAAAUAAAAAAUAAUGGUUUCCUGCUAACUCAUUUGCCUUUGCUAUAUAUUCUGGAAAUCAUUUUCCUUGUAGGAAAGUGUCCCAAUGGUAUUUAAUUUGGUGCAUUUCACAUGGGAGAAAUGCAACAAUGAAAAUACUAUGUUGUUUUGAUUCUGAAGCAAGUACAUAUUUGUUUGUUUGGAAUUGGAUUGUUUUGUAUUGCGAGGUUUGAAUGGUGGAUUGGCCAAUGAACUUCAGAAAAAUAUAACCCAUAGUUGUGAAAUUUGUUCAUAUAUGAUGUGUUAUUACAUCACUUGCAUUUAGAGUAUUUUAAACACUACGUUGUGAAGUUGUAUUCAGCCAAGGGGGAGCAUGACCAGGACUAUUGCCCAAAUGAUGCAGAGUGAUGGAGGGAUUUCAAGGAAAUUUAAUGCCAUUUUUUAUUUUGUCUGUUGCCAAAGCAUGUUUCCGUUGCAUCUACUUUUUCGAUUUGUUGCUUGUAUCAAUAGCAUUAUAAGAUGUACUAGUUUAGCAGUAGAAUGAUUUUUCAUACUCACACUAGAAUGAAGAUUCAAACUUUGUAUUCCUAUAUGUAGUGUUUUAUUAGUUGGAUCACUUCCCCUAUCUUAUUGCUUUUGACUUCUAUGUUUUUUGCAGGAAAUAUUGUGAAAGAAGAUGCA